rnacentral:rRNA from 1 species
CUCUCAGGACGAACGCUGGCGGCGUGCCUAAUACAUGCAAGUCGAGCGAGCCCUUUUGGGCGAGCGGCGGACGGGUGAGUAACACGUGGGCAAUCUGCCUUUCAGACUGGAAUAACACUCGGAAACGGGUGCUAAUGCCGGAUAAUACACAGGUAGGCAUCUAGCUGUGUUGAAAGAUGCAACAGCAUCGCUGAGAGAGGAGCCCGCGGCGCAUUAGCUAGUUGGUGGGGUAACGGCUCACCAAGGCGACGAUGCGUAGCCGACCUGAGAGGGUGACCGGCCACACUGGGACUGAGACACGGCCCAGACUCCUACGGGAGGCAGCAGUAGGGAAUCUUCCGCAAUGGGCGCAAGCCUGACGGAGCAACGCCGCGUGAGCGAAGAAGGCCUUCGGGUUGUAAAGCUCUGUUGCUCGGGGAGAGCGACAAGGAGAGUGGAAAGCUCCUUGUGAGACGGUACCGAGUGAGGAAGCCCCGGCUAACACG